GCGCGGGUGGCGGAACAGGCAGACGCGUAUGCUUCAGGAGCAUAUGCCUUUUGGCAUGGGGGUUCAAGUCCCCCCCCGCGCA
rnacentral:tRNA from 1 species